rnacentral:rRNA from 1 species
GACAGAGGUGCCAAGCGUUUAGGCGGAAUCACUGGGCUUAAAGCGUGUGUAGGUGGAUUUGUAAGUACCUUGUGAAAUCCCAUGGCUCAACCAUGGAACUGCUCGGUAUACUGCGAAUCUUGAGCCACUUAGGGGCUACCGGAACAAAUGGUGGAGCGGUGAAAUGCGUAGAUAUCAUUUGGAACGCCAAUGGUGAAAACAGGUAGCUGGGAGUGAUGCUGACACUGAGACACGAAAGCCAGGGGAGCGAACGGG